GAAUCCCGUCUCUGACACGGACUACCAAGGCUUUGUGGUACGCUCUCGAAGAGUCGAGUUGUUUGGGAAUGCAGCUCUAAAUGGGUGGUAAAUUCCAUCUAAAGCUAAAUAUUGGCGAGAGACCGAUAGCAAACAAGUACCGUGAGGGAAAGAUGAAAAGAACUUUGGAAAGAGAGUUAAACAGUACGUGAAAUUGUUGAAAGGGAAACGCUUAAAGUCCAGUCGCGUUGGUUAGGAAUCAGCCUUGGUUUUCCUUGGUGUACUUCCUAAUCGACGGGUCAACAUCAGUUUUGACCGUUGGAUAAAGGUUGAGGGAAUGUGGCACCUUCGAGUGUGUUAUAGCCCUUGAUUGUAUACAGCGGUUGGGACUGAGGAACUCAGCACGCCGAAAGGCCGGGUCUUGUACCACGUUCGUGCUUAGGAUGUUGGCAUAAUGGCUUUAAUCGACCCGUCUUGAAACACGGACCAAGGAGUCUAACAUGCCUGCGAGUGUUUGGGUGGAAAACCCGAGCGCGUAAUGAAAGUGAAAGUUGAGAACUCUUAGAGUGCAUCGACGCCCGGAGCAGACCUUUUGUGACGCAUCCGCGGUAGAGCAUGUAUGUUGGGACCCGAAAGAUGGUGAACUAUGCCUGAAUAGGGUGAAGCCAGAGGAAACUCUGGUGGAGGCGCGUAGCGAUUCUGACGUGCAAAUCGAUCGUCAAAUUUGGGUAUAGGGGCGAAAGACUAAUCGAACCAUCUAGUAGCUGGUUCCUGCC
rnacentral:rRNA from 1 species